CAGCGCCACGAGUGGUAACCGCGAUUAUUGGGCCUAAGCGUCCGUAGCAGGUUUGACAAAUCUUUUGUGAAAUUGUGCGGCUUAACCGUACAACGUGCAAGAGACACUAUCAAACUCGAGAUCGGGAGGAGUCAGAAGUAUUCCAGGGGGAGCGGUAAAAUGUUAUAAUCCCUGGAGGACUACCUAUGGCGAAGGCAUCUGACCAGAACGAAUCUGACUGUGAGGGACGAAAGCCAGGGGAGCGAACCGGAUUAGAUACCCGAGUAGUCC
rnacentral:rRNA from 1 species